rnacentral:lncRNA from 1 species
GUGUGAGAAAUGGAGACAGAGGGAUUGGAGAGAUGAAGAUGGGGGAUCCGUGGUCUCUGAAGCCCCCAAUGCUUGUGUGAGGGUGAGAGCUCAGGAAGACCAUCAUAUUGGACUAGAACCUACCCUAAUAAUCCCAAUGAAACUUAAUGACUUCUUUGAAGGCCCUAUCUCCAUAUAAAGUCAUAUUCUAAGGUUUGCUUUUUCCAGUGAAGCUUUCUACCAGAAAAAAGGCAAAGAAGAUGGUUUUUCUGAUAAAGUCCCAUGAGAAUGCUCUGAUGACACUGGAAAAGCUUUCUUUCAUUCAUCCACCCACUGGUGACUUGGAAAAUAGCCUCUUCACCUUCAAAUGAGAGAAUAAUGCUGAAUUUUUCUGAAUUUCUAAGACGGGAAGUGAUGUAUCACUAAAACGGUGAGCUCUCACUGAAACAGGAAAUCUUCUACCAGUGUGGGUCUGAGUUGAUCUCUCCCUCCCUCCC